AGAGUUUGAUCAUGGCUCAGGAUGAACGCUAGCGGCAGGCUUAAUACAUGCAAGUCGAGGGGCAGCAUGAGUGUAGCAAUACACUUGAUGGCGACCGGCAAACGGGUGCGGAACACGUACAGAACCUUCCUUCGAGCGGGGAAUAGCCCAGAGAAAUUUGGAUUAAUACCCCAUAGUAUAUUGAAGAGGCAUCUCUUUAAUAUUAAAGAUAUAUCGCUUGAAGAUGGCUGUGCGGCUGAUUAGGUAGUUGGCGGGGUAACGGCCCACCAAGCCUACGAUCAGUAACUGGUGUGAGAGCACGACCAGUCACACGGGCACUGAGACACGGGCCCGACUCCUACGGGAGGCAGCAGUAAGGAAUAUUGGGCAAUGGAGGCAACUCUGACCCAGCCAUGCCGCAUGGAGGAUGAAGGCCCUCUGGGUUGUAAACUUCUUUUAUAUGGGACGAAAAAGGGCCUUUCUAGGUCAACUGACGGUACCAUUUGAAUAAGCACCGGCUAACUCCGUGCCAGCAGCCGCGGUAAUACGGAGGGUGCAAGCGUUAUCCGGAUUUACUGGGUUUAAAGGGUGCGUAGGUGGAUUGGUAAGUCAGUGGUGAAAUCUCCGGGCUUAACUCGGAAACUGCCAUUGAUACUAUCAGUCUUGAAUAUUGUGGAGGUCAGCGGAAUAUGUCAUGUAGCGGUGAAAUGCUUAGAUAUGACAUAGAACACCAAUUGCGAAGGC
rnacentral:rRNA from 1 species